UGGGGAAUUUUGGACAAUGGGGGCAACCCUGAUCCAGCAACGCCGCGUGAAUGAAGAAGGCCUUAGGGUUGUAAAGUUCUUUUAUCUGGGGGCAAAUCGUAUGUAUGAAUAGUGCAUAUGUCUGAGAGUACCAGAGGAAUAAGCACCGGCUAACUACGUGCCAGCAGCCGCGGUAAUACGUAGGGUGCGAGCGUUAAUCGGAAUUACUGGGCGUAAAGGGUGCGCAGGCGGGUGUGUAAGUUGGAUGUGAAAUCCCCGAGCUUAACUUGGGAACAGCAUUCAAGACUGCAUGCCUAGAGUUUUUCAGAGGGGGGUAGAAUUCCGGGUGUAGCAGUGAAAUGCGUAGAUAUCCGGAGGAAUACCAAUGGCGAAGGCAGCCCCCUGGGAUAUAACUGACGCUCAUGCACGAAAGCGUGGGGAGCAAACAGG
rnacentral:rRNA from 1 species